AUGUAGGGCAAUCUGUCUUUAAGUAAGGAUAAAUUAUUUUAAAAGAAAUUAAUUCCAGAUAGUUUUCCCUUCAAGUAUAUUGUUGU
rnacentral:pre_miRNA from 1 species